AGCCUUGAGGUGUGUUGACAUAUUAAAUUGCAAAUCUAAAGAAGCAGACGAGAGUCUGCCGGGGCUU
rnacentral:tRNA from 1 species